AUCCAGAUGACUAGUCCCAAAUAGGACGAAAUGUGCAUCCUGGAU
rfam:Trichobilharzia regenti genome assembly, scaffold: TRE_scaffold0069402